rnacentral:lncRNA from 1 species
CUAGAGACUGCGGACUUAGGCAGUUUUACAUUAGCUUUAGCGAGCACUGCACCGGAAGAAGCAAGCUGGUAAGUAAUUGAAAUGCGGACCAGAACUUGUGCCUGGGGCUACUCGCAGAGUCAGCAGGAUUUCAAAGAUUCACUGGUCCACAGUUAAGCCAUGAUUCUUCUGAGGCCUUUUACUCUCAUCCCUGCCGGCACUGACCUCCCUCAUGAGGAGCAUGAGGUGCCGGGUGGGUGUUUAGCAGGAUCGUUUUAUCAUCUUUUCCAACCACAGGGGAAACUGAGGCUUUUGAAACGCAGGUUGGAUGCUGAGUAAUCAUGGCUGUGUGUGUCAACAAGCAAGGGAGGUGACCGCCAUUUCUCCUUCCCCUUAAGGGUUGUUUGCCCUUGCACCCAUGAGAGAUGGCUUCUGCUUCAGUUCUUUGCUCAAUACCUCCUAUUCACUGAAUCCUUAAAGGAAACAUUUAGCUACCGCUGCACAUAAGUUGGUUGCAUAAUAGGAAAGAAACAAGCCAGGGCUGGAGACCUCAUCUCCACGGAAGCAUUGUAAGGCCAGCGAGGGCUGUUUUACAGAGCCAGCCAUGACUUGGGACUCCCUCUAUACCCUUUCAUUACCAUGACAACAGGCAGCUCCUACUUCACACAUCCAGGAAAAGCAGCUGACAUCUCAAUGCUAGGAACACAGGGGAGAGGUUUACAAAAAAACCACAACAACCACCACCAAAAAAGCCUUUUUGUUUGCCUGUCAACAGAGAGAACACCCCCCCAGAGGCGACUGCAAAGCCAGGGUGAAAGGACAGAAGGAUCACUGCAGCAGAUGCGUUUUUAUAUUGCUCGAUUGGAAGCUGUCCUCAUGACCGCAGUCUGAACGUUAACAGAGAAGCGUUCCGGCUGCUUUAACCAUCCUACACGUAAGCAGCUCUGGAAAUUGAAGUUGCUGCUCUUUAGAGCAUGCUGAUUUAGAGAAGCUGUGGUUCACAGUCUGCUCUUCCCCAGCCCAGUCAGUCAUCCUCUGUAAGCCUAUGAUGGCACCGUGCUGUACAAGAAGAGGUCUUCCUGUGUGCUUAUUUCUGACUUUGCACUGUGGCAUUCAUCUAUCGAGGCAUGUAAAUAUUUAUUUGUUUACCUGGCCCCGAGCUAAUCUGGAGCCCACAGAGAUCCGUCUGCCUCUGCCUCCUGGGUACUAAGUUUAAAGGAGGCCUGGCUCUGCUUCUGUAUGUAUGUGUGUAAUCAUUUCAAUGGUUGUGUCUGUAUUUAUUGCACAUUUAUCGUGUGUCGGACCCUGCGCUAACAGCUUUCUAUGCAUCGUGUCAGUGGAGUCUGACAAGUCUUUGGAGGUUUUACUACGUUCCCAUUUUAAAGAUAGUACAGAGUAAUGUUAACUGUACAGGAUUUAAGACCAGACAGCUUGGAUUUUCUUCUUGACUUUCCCACACCCUAACUGUACACCCAGGAGCUAGUAAUAACCUCUCUCAGCAUCUGCUUUCUUAUUUAUAAAAUGAGGCUACAGAUAUGGGAGGAGUGACUAUAGGGUCUAUCACAGGCAAUUGUUCUGAGUUUCAAGAAUUUGAUGCAAACCAACUGCAUAAAACUCCUACUAUGUAGUAGACACUCAACAAAUGUUAACGAUUUUGGUUUAUGUCAGACGACAGCAACGUUCGCUUUCUCCCGGGUCUCUAACUGUAAUAGCAAGGUGGUACUCUCCUUGCCUCCCGCCUGUGUUAGCUAACUGAGCAGGCAUUUCGCUGAGGAGGAGAUGCUGCCUCCCCCCUCUCCAGGUGACUAGCCCAAAUGCUUCUGAUACUAUACACUCUCCACUAACACUGGAUGAGAAGUUGUUAUUUAACGUAAUUUAGGCUCUCUGAGUGUGUGACAAAGUCAACAGGCAACCAGAAUGAUAAAAACAAAAGCCAAGCGAAGCAAAUAAAAACCCUGAGCUAUAAAAGUUUGCAGACGUGCCUCAGCCGGUUCUCUCUACAGACCCCAGAACAUUUGCCACACUGAUUUUCAGAACGCCAAAAGAGAAAGAGAAAGGUAACAGAACUUAUCUCUGUCGUGCAGCAGGGAAGUCUGGGAGCAGAGGAAGCCAGGCAGUGAGCCAGAGCCCUUCCAGCUGGGAAGGGCGCACGUGUCUGGGAUCAGGAUUAUAGAAAGGGCUGAGGAUGUGACGCCUUGAUGCCUCAGACAAUGGGAUGUUUUUUCCUCAGCUCAGGUCUGGAGUGUGAGCAGCUCCUCUGAGGAAGGGACAAGGGUUUGUUUCUUCCAGGGCCUUUGCACACAUCUGCACGCUUCUCUCUGGUCUUAGCAGCACAGAGGAAGCUGGCGCCAUUCUGCAAUGGUGUCCCGAGGGAUCAUGGAGCGGUGAGACCAGCCAGGCCAUAUAGAAAAGGAUUUGAUUUUUUUUUUGGUUAAAGAAUUUUCUCAAAGACUUCAAAUAUUAACUUAUUUUAACUAGCAUUCUCCAUUUAUUUGAGACGGCUUUAUGAGCUUGAUUCCACUCAAUGAGAUUAAUUCCAUGAGAACAAAGAGAAAGAUUUAGUUGGAGAGUGCUUAAAAAAACAAACAAACAAACAAAAAAACCCAUCUUGACCCAACUCAAAUUUUUUCUAAUACUGAAUUUGACAUAUUUGUUGGAAUGCUGAAAACGAAGUUCCUUGCAGACAAAUUGUUCACGGAAAACUGGAAUUAAGGCCUAAAUGUAAUUUAUGUCUGAUGAGAGCAGGUCUCAUUUCUAAGAUUGGGGAUUUUCACUCAGUUGUAUGACUCGAGAGAUCUCCUGCUCAGGGAUGAGAACUUCAGGGCACUGUAAUAUAUAAUGACAAACUCACACACAGGAUGUAAGAGAAUACUGACU